UGCUAAAAAUUCCAUCUAUUUGUACUAUUAAAAAUUGUAAUAAGACAGUAAUAUAUGACGUGUCAUGUGUACAUCAUAAUGACAUACAUAGACUAAUUUUUAACUGUAAAAAUGGAUGAAAUUUUUAAUA
rfam:Gossypium raimondii Chr02_contig_584, whole genome shotgun sequence.